UACUGAAGUGGAAACAAUUAAAAGCUCUGGUUUUUUCAUUGUAAUGUAAUUACAGCAACAUCUCUCAUACAAAUUAUGGCUCAUUUACUCUUCAAGGCAAUUAGCAUCUGGACUGCCACCAAGGAAACCCUUUUUAGGUUGCAAAGUGGUAUCGCUUGGUGCUCUCAGGAAGCUGGAGACUCCAGUUCCUGAAAGAAGAGGACUUGUUCAACGCAGGAGUGGGGAGAGAGUUCCCUUCUUCAUAGAUGUGGCCUCUCAUUGAAAAUACUUGUGCUCUGACACCUCCUGGAACGUCACUGGUGCUUUUAUUUUCCAAAUGGAAGAGCUGCCGGACCUGUUCUGCCUUGUUCCCACCUGGUGGGGAUUAAGUGGAUGUGACUCUGGGACUGUUCUUUUGAGUAACUCCGCGUGAUAACUUCUGCUUGACUGGUGGAUGAGGGGCUGACAGCUAGUCAGGUAUCACCCAGGUCAGAGAACAAGAAAGACAGCAUGCUCGCAGGAGGACAACUCUAGGUUCUGAGAAAAAGUGGAGGAUGAUCUAAUGAAGGCAUUUCAGCGCAGAGACCACGCUGCCCAGAAGCAGAGCAGCGAGAACAGACCUGGACGGCUAUGGGAAGCACUUUGUUAAGACAGGGUACCAGGCCAUCCAAUCACACAAUAUUUAUGCCCUUCACGUUUUAAAACUACUUUUUGUAGUCAAAAGUGCUUCCACCUUCAACUUGCCAUGAAUAAUGACUGCUAACUAAACUAACAAAACAAAAAUGCUUUAAAAGCUGUGCACCCCUGCAGAAAUCUGUACCAGAAUCUCACUGCUAUAAACUGAAUUGUGUACCCCCAAAUUUGUGUGGUGAAGCUCUCACCUUACGUGACUGUAUUUGGAGAUAGGGCCUAUAAGGAGGUAAUUAAGGUUAAAUGAGGUCAUGAGGGUGGGGCCCUGAUCUGAUAGAUUAGUGUCCUUAUAAGAAGAGACACCAGAGACCCAGCAUUCUUGCUCUCUCUCUCUGUCUUAGUCUUUCUCUCUCUCUUUUUCUCCCUACCCACCCCUUCCUCACUCUCCACCAUGCGAGGACACAGACACUCACCAGAAACUGAUUUGUCCGGCACCUGCGUCUUGGACUUCCCAGCCUCCAGAACUGUGAGAAAAUAGUUUCUGCUGUUUAAGUCCUGCAGUCUGUGGCAUUUUGUUAUGGUGGCCCAAGCUGACUAAUAUGAUCACUCUAAACCCUUCACUAGUGGUUCAUGCUGAGGUCCCAGAAACAGUGCUACCAAAGUGAGUCUGACGCCGGAAGAGGGCUUUCUCAUCUGAAGUCCUCGCUGUGAUCUCCAUCGCUGCCUUGAGAGAGAAUCUGGCCAGGAGUUUUUACACCCAUCCCAGAAUCAGAGAACUGAGGUCCCCCAGCAUUCAGCCCAACGCCCGGCUCAUAGUAGAAGGUCAAUACAUGUUUGGUGGAUGUAACCUUGGAGGAUCCCAGGUCUAGAAUGGAGGUAUUCCCACCCCUCUUCCAGGGCUCCUUAUUCUCUUCAGCACUGUGUUUUCUCUAAGGUCGCAGUUUAAGGUGCUAAGAAAAGACUUCUCAAAGCUGCCUACAGUUGUAAUCUGGGUUCAAGGUCCUAGCUGAGUGAUCUCGGGCUGGUUAAAUGUCUCAGUUUGGGUUCCCUAAGGAAAACUCAGAUCCAAGUAGUUUAUUUGGGAGACGCAGGAAAUACCAGUAUGGUGGUGGGAAGAUGACAGCACGACAAAGGCAGCCAAUCAAGUGUAUUAUCAAGCGGGUCACCACUGUGGGCCACUGGAGCUUACUUCCCUAGGGACCCCUGGGGAUCAGGGUAGAACACUUGCCUCAGAAUUAAAUCCCCACCCUGCCACCAAGGGGUGAGGGAGCCAGAGAAUUUAUGCACCAACUUCUCUCAUAAUUUAUCCCCAGCACAUUUAUCCCCCAACACAUCUGACAUGCAAGAACACACCACCUUCAGAGGCCAGCAGAAGCUCUCAGGCCCAGUUCUGGCAUUUGGAAGUUGAGCUGGUAGGCACUGAAAUAGUGAGGACCAAGGAGAUAUGGGCAGGGCACAGACAGCAUCUGCUGUCUGUAAAAGGAAGACUAGUACCCAAUUCAUUAAAUGAGUUAAUAUUUGUAACACACUUCAAACACUCUAUGGCAUACAAAUGCAUAAGUGUGGCAGAUUGCAUUUUCCCAUAUGCAGACACAGCAGCUUUGUGGUCCCAUAUGCUCUUUGAGAACCUUGCCACUCCCUAUUAAGGGGUGGAGUCUAUUCCGUGCCCCCACCUCUCAUCCUCCACCUAGAACCCAGUGGGACUUUGUGACUACCUUGAUGAACAUAAUGCUGCAGAAGUGAAGCCGCUGGGUUCUGAGGCUAGGUUAUAUAAGGUAAUAUUGGUCUGCCUGUCUCUCUCUCUGUGUAUGUACACAUAUAUAAAUACACACACACUCCUGCCUUGGGAGCCCUACCCUGUAGCUGCCACACUGGAGAGAUCACAUGGAGAGACACUACAGGAACAGACAGAGAUGUCCAGACUCAGCUGUUGGAGUUGUCCCAGAUCAGGUGCCACAUGGGUGAGCAAAGAAGCCUUUGGGGUGACCUAGCCACAGCCACUUAAUAGCUACGACCAUGGGACAGACCCUGAGCCGGAUAUGCUCAAUUAUGCCAGACCCAAAUUCCUGAUCCACAGAAACCGUGAGAGAUAAUAAAUAAUUACUGUUAUUUUAAGAGACUAAAUUUUGAGAUUAACUUUUUAUGUAGCCAUAGUAACUGGAACAGUGCUUGAUAAAUAAAAUCGAAAAUCUUAACUCUUCUACUCAUAACCCCUCCUAAGAUAUGAAAGGAAACCUUCAUGUCCUGGAUUCCACAUCCUACCAGAUGGUUAUAACCCAAGCGCAUGCUUUUCUGGAAGUCAUAUCUUCACAAUGUUGUUAUGUUAAGGAUUUGUGUUAAGGUUGACAUGCAAAAGUUAGAUUUAGUCCUGGACUGGAUGUUGUGGUGAUUCCUUAAAACCCAUUUUGCUCAUCUUCCAUCCUGUAGAGGUCAGGUUGUUUGGUCACUCACCUCCAGCUCCAGAAGUAGGCCCUGAAUGGUCUAAACUAUCAGGGAAUCCUAGGACUCUUGCCACAGUGACCACACAAGUCAGGCAUAAGCCAAUCAGCAUUGAUUAGGGAUGGUGUAUCAGUAACCACAUCCAGGACUUUUGCUGGGGAUUCUGGGGCACUGAAGCAUUCUUCCUCUGGGAAGUGUCAGGUUCAGACAUGCACGCUGGAUCCAUUGCAAUCAUUUUGCUACCAUGAGGAAAACCAGCCUGAGAAUAGAAUCAACACAUGAAACAGGCAAGAUUGAGAGAAUCACCCAGAAAUCAGUCUAGAGCCUUGAUCAAACCAUGCUUUAAGUGCAAACUACAUCUGCAUUUACAGCUGUGGGAGCCAAGAAGUUGCCUUUAUUGUUUAAACUACUUUGAUGGAAUUUCUAUUACUUGUAACCCAAAGUGCCCUGAUUAAUUCAGGUAUCAAGACAUCAGACACUGUCAACAGACCUAAUCCAUUAGUCUAGUGACUGAUGUUACCAGAACUGAUCUUCAGAGGUGGAAGAGAGGAGCAUUAUUUAAUCUAUGUAUAAUUUUCUAACACUCUUUGGACAUUUUUCUAUAAAACCUUGAGUUUUGCCAAGAAAAUAACUGCUGUUUUCCUGGCUGCAUUUGGGUAUAAGCGUGUGCUCAUUCUGAAGGUACUAAGAGAGGAUCUGUUCCAGGCCUCUCUCCCAGCUUCCAGUGGCCUCAGGCGUUCCUUGGCUUGAAGAUGGCCAUCUUCUCCCUGUUUCUUCAUAUCGUCUUCCCUCUCUGGGUGUCUGUCUGUGUGUCCAAAUUUCUCCUUUCUAAAGGACACCAGUUAUAUAGGAUUAGGGCCCAUCCUAAUGACAUCAUUUUAACUUGAUUACCUCCAAAUAAGGUCAUAAUCUGAGGUCCUGGGGGUUAGGGCUUCAGCACAUAUAAUUUUGGGGAGACACAAUUCAACCCAUAACUGUGGGGUAGAGGAAGUGGCUUGGGAGGGUGUAUAUGGAAAUGACAAGGCACCAAAUAUAGGAAAGUUAAAAAAAUACCUUAUCAAACACAAUUUUGGAGUUGUCUACAUGUAGGAAGGCCUUGCUUUGGUUUGCAGGAGAAUGGAAGGCAUGGGGUUCCUGACGGAAGACACUUUCUCUGCCGGGACAUGUGAUAGAAAUGAAAGAUUCAGAGCCAGUUUCCUGAAACACAGAGCCUGUAUUGCCUCUCUUUUCUAGCCUAGAUAUUUCCAUUACAACAAUCUCUGUUUUGUUGGGUGAUUUUUUUUUUGAGGGAAUACACACAAAGCUUUGACUUAUAUUAUUCUCACUGCGUCCAGCUGAAUGAAAUUUAUGAAGCUCCCCGC
rnacentral:lncRNA from 1 species